rnacentral:lncRNA from 1 species
UGUAAACCUCUUCGCAGUACAUAGGUAAGCAAAUCCUGGACGACAUUACGCAGUGUGAGGGGAAGGGAAUGGCUUAGCGGCUAACCUUAGCACGGAGCAGAAAGGCUGUGGUGCAGAGCAAACAAUCUCCGUGGUCAGGGUCUGUCAGUCAAAUUCCUGGUGGACAAUCAGCCCUUAAGAUGUGAUUUCUGUCCCGGAAUAGCCUACACUUAUGCUCUUAAGAGUUCAUAAAAACCUGCGGGUGACGACUCGCCACGACGGCUCCAGCCCCGCGGCGCAGCGCCGUUGGUGAGUGCUGUCUGCCCCCUAGCGGGACGCCCGCCGCUCGCAUCUGCCGCCACGCGGCCAAGCUGCUCCAGCUCACCGGUACGGGACGGCUGCUUUCCCAACGGCGGGGGCAGCCUUCGCGGGAGGGCAGCAGGCUUCGACCUCGAGUCGGCCGCAGAAGCCUUCCGAUCACAGGACAGUUUGUGACCCUCGUCUCAGACAAUUAGGUUUACAUGAAAUAUGCAGCCUAUAGGGGACGCUGAAACAAGUUAUGCUCCUUUCCCUGUGCACUACCAGUCCCAGUUGUCUGUUCACAGGAAAAAGGUGCAGCUGUUAGCUAGCAGUAACAAUGAAAUAUCAGCAAAGAGGGAGAUAUCAGAAGAAGGCAUAUCAUGGAAGUAAAUUUGUCAUAUGUCUGACCUUCGUGGAGGAGAUAAGGAAUUAAGCAGUUAAACAGGUAACAGAAAUAACAGUCACUCUCCAAGAAGUUGGAGAAUGCAUAGUUUAUUAGUAUUUAGGCCAUAAAUAACAGAAUGCCCGGUGGCGCAAGUGGUAGGAAUGCCGCAUUGCAACACCGGGGCCCGGGGUUCGAAUCCCCCCUGUGGUGCAAGUGGUAGAAGUGCCGCUCUGCAGCACAGAGGCUCAAAUCCCGGGAGUUGGACUCGAUGAUCUCUAAGGUCCCUUCCAACCCGCACGAGACUAUUACUAUUAGAAUAACUUAAUCUUAGUCAUAAACAUUUCCAUUACAUCACUAUUAGCAUAGAGGAGAUGGUUUGCUCCUUUCUCUUGAGAGAAAGCUUGAGAGUGGAUUUCUUCUCAGUGCAGCUAUAAUUCUGAUUUAUGGACAUGAUGUGGUGACUUUAUACGAGACUGGUCUUCCCAGAGGGGAGAAUCACUCUCCUAGGCUGAAUGUU